rnacentral:rRNA from 1 species
CCGCAGCGAUUCUGACGUGCAAAUCGAUCGUCAAACUUGGGUAUAGGGGCGAAAGACUAAUCGAACCAUCUAGUAGCUGGUUCCCUCCGAAGUUUCCCUCAGGAUAGCUGGCACUCAGUACCGCAGUUUUAUCCGGUAAAGCGAAUGAUUAGAGGCCUUGGGGACGAAACGACCUCAACCUAUUCUCAAACUUUAAAUGGGUAAGAAGUCCGACCCGCUUGAUUGGGGCCGGGC